AACGAACGCUGGCGGCAGGCUUAACACAUGCAAGUCGAGCGCCUCGCAAGAGGAGCGGCAGGCGGGUGAGUAACGCGUGGGGACGUACCCUUAUCUUCGGAAUAGCUCUGGGAAACUGGAAGUAAUACCGAACGUGCCCUUAGGGGGAAAGAUUUAUCGGAUAAAGAUCGGCCCGCGUUGGAUUAGCUAGUUGGUGGGGUAAAGGCCUACCAACGCGACGAUCCAUAGCUGGUCUGAGAGGAUGAUCAGCCACAUUGGGGCUGGGACACGGCCCCAACUCCUACGGGAGGCAGCAGUGGGGAAUAUUGGACAAUGGGCGCAAGCCUGAUCCAGCCAUGCCGGGUGAGUGAUGAAGGCCUUAGGGUUGUAAAGCUCUUUCACCGGAGAAGAUAAUGACGGUAGCCGGAGAAGAAGCCCCGGCUAACUUCGUG
rnacentral:rRNA from 1 species